rnacentral:tRNA from 27 species
GCACCAUUAGCUCAGUUGGUAGAGCAACUGACUCUUAAUCAGUGGGUCCUGGGUUCGAGUCCCCGAUGGUGCACCA